ensembl:ncRNA F07C3.14 ncRNA
AUCAAAAAAUUUGAUAAAGUACAUGUGUGGGCGGAGAUAGACAUUAACUGGGACAUAAAUUUAUUGGAAUCAAGAUUGCAAAACGAAUUAGAUUUCUCAAAUGAUCUCAUCCUCGUUCCUGAAGACGGAAGUUGCUCCGGUCACUGUUGAUACUUUUUUCGAAAUAUUCAUUUUUUCUGAAAAUUUCAGAUUCACAGAAAGUUUUCAAGGUCACA